rnacentral:rRNA from 1 species
CGAGGUCGGGUUCGGUAACUGGGACGAAGUCGUAACAAGGUAGCUGUACCGGAAGGUGCGGCUGGAUCACCUCCUUU